rnacentral:rRNA from 1 species
CCUACGGGUGGCUGCAGUGGGGAAUAUUGCACAAUGGGGGAAACCCUGAUGCAGCAACGCCGCGUGAGUGAAGAAGUAUCUCGGUAUGUAAAGCUCUAUCAGCAGGGAAGAAAAUGACGGUACCUGAGUAAGAAGCCCCGGCUAACUACGUGCCAGCAGCCGCGGUAAUACGUAGGGGGCAAGCGUUAUCCGGAUUUACUGGGUGUAAAGGGAGCGUAGUCGGGGAUACAAGUCCGAAGUGAAAGCCCGGGGCUCAACCCCGGGACUGCUUUUGACACUGUGUUGCUGGAGUGCCGGAGAGGUAAGCGGAAUUCCUAGUGUAGCGGUGAAAUGCGUAGAUAUUAGGAAGAACACCAGUGGCGAAGGCGGCUUGCUGGACAGUAACUGACGUUGAGGCUCGAAAGCGUGGGGAGCAAACAGGAUUAGAUACCCGGGUAGUC